rnacentral:lncRNA from 1 species
UCUGUUUCACUUCAUGUUCUUUCAUUCAUUCAUACCAAUAACAAUUUUCCUAGGUAAUACUUCUAGUAAGUUCCAGUUGUGCACACAGCAUGUGACAGGAUUGAUGAUUUAAUUCAUGUGUCUUUAGUGGUCCUGAGUAUUGAAUAGACUUUCAGAGCAUUACUUGAACCCUUAAAUAACCCUAUUGGCCUUCCUUACACCAAUCAAGGUGCAGGUCUAACAUC